rnacentral:rRNA from 1 species
GAUGAACGCUGGCGGCGUGCCUAAUACAUGCAAGUCGAGCGAACGGACCAGAAGCUUGCUUCUCUGAUGUUAGCGGCGGACGGGUGCGUCACACGUGGAUAACCUACCUAUCAGACUGGGAUAACUUCGGGAAACCGUAGCUAAUACCGGAUGAUAUUUUGACCCUCAUGGUUCCAAAGUUAAAGUCGGUCUUGCUGUCACUAAUAGCUGGAUCCGCGCUGCAUUCGCUAGUUGGUGAGGUAACGGGUUACCAAGGCAACGAUGCAUAGCCGACCUGAGAGGGGAAUCGGCCACACUGGAACGGAAGCACGGUCAACACCACUGGGGGAGGCAGCAGUAGGGAAUCUUCCGCAAUGGGCGCAAGCCUGACGGAGCAACGCGGCGUGAGUGAUGAAGGUCCUCGGAUCGGAGAACGAUGUUAUUAGGAGAGAACAUAUGUGUUAGUAACUGUGAAGAUAUUGACGGUACCGGAUCAGAAAGCCACGGCUAACUACGUG